rnacentral:rRNA from 1 species
UACGAAGGGUGCAAGCGUUACUCGGAAUUACUGGGCGUAAAGCGUGCGUAGGUGGUUCGUUAAGUCUGAUGUGAAAGCCCUGGGCUCAACCUGGGAAUGGCAUUGGAAACUGGCGACCUAGAGUGCGGUAGAGGGUAGUGGAAUUCCCGGUGUAGCAGUGAAAUGCGUAGAUAUCUGGAGGAACACCGGUGGCGAAGGCGGCGUCCUGGACCAACACUGACACUGAUGAGCGAAAGCCAGGGGAGCAAACGGG